rnacentral:rRNA from 1 species
CGAUNUUCGUGCGAGGCGGUACGACAUGCNAAGUCGNGUGAAAACAGAAAGUAGCUUGCUACUCUGCUGACUAGCGGCGGACGGGUGAGUAAUGCUUGGGAACAUGCCUUGAGGUGGGGGACAACAGUUGGAAACGACUGCUAAUACCGCAUAAUGUCUACGGACCAAAGGGGGCUUCGGCUCUCGCCUUUAGAUUGGCCCAAGUGGGAUUAGCUAGUUGGUGAGGUAAUGGCUCACCAAGGGCGACGAUCCCUAGCUGGUUUGAGAGGAUGAUCAGCCACACUGGGACUGAGACACGGCCCAGACUCCUACGGGAGGCAGCAGUGGGGAAUAUUGCACAAUGGGCGCAAGCCUGAUGCAGCCAUGCCGCGUGUGUGAAGAAGGCCUUCGGGUUGUAAAGCACUUUCAGUCAGGAGGAAAGGUUAGUAGUUAAUACCUGCUAGCUGUGACGUUACUGACAGAAGAAGCACCGGCUAACUCCGUGCCAGCAGCCGCGGUAAUACGGAGGGUGCGAGCGUUAAUCGGAAUUACUGGGCGUAAAGCGUACGCAGGCGGUUUGUUAAGCGAGAUGUGAAAGCCCCGGGCUCAACCUGGGAACUGCAUUUCGAACUGGCAAACUAGAGUGUGAUAGAGGGUGGUAGAAUUUCAGGUGUAGCGGUGAAAUGCGUAGAGAUCUGAAGGAAUACCGAUGGCGAAGGCACGCCACCUGGGUCAACACUGACGCUCAUGUACGAAAGCGUGGGGAGCAAAGCGGGAUUAGAUACCCCCGGUAGUCCACGCCGUAAAGCGACCGUCUACUAGAAGACUACGGAGCCUCGGCCUCUGGGUCUCAAAGCAAACGCACGUAAGUAGACCCGCCUGGGGAGUACGGCCGCCAACGGCUAAAACUCAAAUGAACGACCGGGGGCCACGCACAAGCGGUGUAGCAUGUCGG